rnacentral:rRNA from 1 species
GCCCAAGAGAUCGGGAUAACACCUGGAAACAGAUGCUAAUACCGGAUAACAACAGAUGAUGCCUAUCAACUGUUUAAAAGAUGGUUCUGCUAUCACUCUUGGAUGGACCUGCGGUGCAUUAGCUAGUUGGUAGGGUAACGGCCUACCAAGGCGAUGAUGCAUAGCCGAGUUGAGAGACUGAUCGGCCACAUUGGGACUGAGACACGGCCCAAACUCCUACGGGAGGCAGCAGCC